CCGCCACCGCCUCAGGGAAGAGGAAGGAGGCCGCGGCUUCGCGUCCCGCCUCUCGCCUGGCUGGCCGUGGGGGGCCUGGACGCAGUGGCCUCCCGAAUCUCCCAGGACCCUAAUAUCGCCCGAGGAUGCUGGGAGGAACGCUGAGCCGACCUCUCCGUUAGGCUGAAGAUUGCACAAACCAUGCUAAUGGCCAGCAUGGAUGGAGGGAGCGUGUGAGAUGUGUGGGGCAGCGUGCUGCAUCUCAGCCAACUCCAGGAGCCAGUUGAUGUGAUGGACUACCUUAAUUGAUUUUUGAAUGUUGAGCCAGCCUUAUGCAUGUGGGAUAAACCCCUGUUGAUCAUGGCUGGCUGGAGUGCAGUGGUGCAAUCAUGGCUCACUGCAACCUCAAAUUCCUGGGCUCAAGGGAUCCUCCUGCCUCAGCCUCCCAAGUAGCUAGGACUACAGGAAGCAUGCUCAUGGCAAUACCCGGAGUCUCCACUGCAAGACCAGAGUGACGGAGGCAGCAGAGCUCCUCAGCAGGCCAGGAGUCUCCAGAGGCACUGCCGAAUGUCUAAGAAGCAACCUCAUUGUAUUCCCAAGACCUGGGAAUCCAGGUCUCGCAGAUACGAUGAUACAAUCUAUAGCCAGGACAUCUCUUCAUGUGUAGGAUAAGCAACUAUCCCAGUCUUCCCAGGAUUGAGGGGCUUCUCCAGAUGCUGCACUUCUGGUGCUAAAAAUGAGAAACUGAAAUGAAUUAGUCACCCAAGGAAUGCUGACCCUGUGCUAUAUGAUCACAUUUACUCUUUAAAGCAAUGCUUUGAGACAUGAAAGCCAGAUAGGGAAGAAUUUGCAGCCUCAUACUGAUUGGCCAGUUGAGGAGUCAACUCAUCUCUCUUAUAGAAAAAAGAAGAUUACAUUUACGGAAUACAGAAUAUACUGUGCUCUCUACUUACCAAGAGAUUUCUUUCUCUACUGACAACUUUCUGUUGACGUGGUUACUGUGCAGGUUCUGACAGUCGAUUCUUUCCACCUAGUUCACUGCUGAAGCUAUAAUGAUUUCCAUUUUGCAAAAAGAGGAUGAUUACUUAUUAUCUGUGACCAUUUCUCAAUUCCAGAACAAUUGAGCUGCAUAGUCCCUGCAAUCUUAUAAAGGCAUUUGGCCUGGAAGAUGCUCUGCAGCCAUGUGCCAAGAAUAACGGCUAUAGGGACAAUGUUUCAUUAACCCCAAAGCAGCAACCUGAACCUCUUACUGUACAAUAUCUGCUCCGUUCAGAAUUAGCUCGACUUGAGUCACAGGAUGAAGCUUACCAAAAGGAAUUUCCACGUCCAAGGAAGGAACCAAGAUCACUGAGAGGUUAUAGUAUGAAAAGUGAAGAGAAAAAACCUAUUCUAAACAUUUUAUUAAUUGUCAAUAAUUAUUUUAAAAUAUUUAAUAUAGUCUCCUACCUGGUCCACUGGCAUCAAGCUGCCAAAUUUACACGGUCACUUUGGGAAGCCAGCUGGCAGGCAAACAUGGAAAGUGCUGGCUCCUAGCGUAGUGAGAAGACCACAGAUAGAUGGUAAUUUUCUUCUUUGUUUUAUUUUUCUUUUUCUUCUCUCCCUCUUUUUCUUCCCUCUUGCCUUUCCCUCCCAUUGCCCACUUUCUUUUUUUGGCUGCCGAAGAUUUAUUGCCUUUCAGUACUUAUAGAUGAUGUUUUCAUAAGUUCUAAUGAGGUCCCAGCAGUUUUUAACAAUAACAGGACAUUACUGUUCCUAAGAUAUAUUAUGUGUUUUCCCUCAUCUUUCUCCCUUGAAUGAAAUGCUUAGAAGUAGGCUAACCCCCAAUUCCCUUCCCUUUACUAUGAUAAAUGGCUCCAUUACUUAAUAGGGCUAAAUACUCUGCUGUGACUUUUAUACUGCUGAUUUGAAUAAAAUCUUACGAAAAGCUUUUCUCGUGU
rnacentral:lncRNA from 1 species